AGUGUUUCUGUUAACAACAUGCAAUUCUUCAUCUUAAAAUAAUAAGAAAAGCAAAGAGGGACAUGAUAAAGAAAACUGACAGGUCAAAUCCCAAAGUUUAUAUAAGUGAAUUAAGUUCUCUGCAAUUUGAAAUACCCUUUCAUGUGGGCAAAAGAACUAACAAAAACAGGCCCUACUUCAAAUAAUAUCAAUCAAAUACUCCCAGAAACAAAGUUCUAUGAAACUGGGAUAACCAAGAUAAGAAAAUAUCUGUCUAUUUAGCAAUAGGAAGACGUAAAUCUUCGAACUAAUGCGUAAGUCCUUGUUUUAACUCAAGUCAUGAACUAAUACUUGGGGAAACAACUAUUUCUAUUUUAUUUCGAAUUGAGAGUUAGAAACCAAUUCUAAUUGUACAAUUAAAAGAAGUUCUUCCAAUAUUAUGUUCUCUCAAUUUUAUUUCCAGAAUAAAAUUCUUAUGAAAGUAGGACACACCACUGAUGUUCUUCACAUAUUGUGCAAGCAAAUAAGAGCAAUGUCGGUUUACGCCCAAAUUGCAAACACAUAUACAAAAAUUAAGUCCUUCAAAAUCUUGAACUCUCUUUCAACAAGAAAAGUGAUACCGACUGCUAUUCCAAAGUUCUUUAUUCUUUUCACAAUCUGUUAAUGUGCAACAAAAAAAAUUUGCAACGAACAGUAUAUUAAAGAUACUUCUCACACAGUAUUUUACAUUGAGACAAUCAACAACUACGAGCAAACAACGCAGGCUCUAAUACUAUUGAUAGUUUAAUAAUCGCGGGGCAAGAACAAUAUUAGCGUACCUGUCAACAACGCAGCGGACAUAGAGUUGCAAUUUUUUGAACUCACCACCAAAAUAAUAGCCCCUAAUCGCAUUCUGAAUCUCAACAGAGUUUUUGUUCACAAACUAAAUGCCUAAAGUUUACUGUGUUCUUUCUUUUUUCUUGCCAGGGAAAUCUUUGUACAGAAGAGAAAUAUAUAGAGAUGAGGAAAUGAGGAGAACUGCCGAUAACUUUUCCUGUUUCCACGCCCCCACUACUUUUUAACGAAAACGUACCACUAGACGAGGUUUUCCAGAAUCUGAGGUGUAGCAGAGAGGGGCUUACUUCUCAAGAUGCUCAGAGGAGACUUCAAAUUUUUUGUUAUAAUAAGCUUGAGGAGAAGCAUGUAUACAUUUCUCUCUUAUUUUCCUCUUAAUUCAUCUUGUUUAUGUAAAGCUCUGUCUUUGGAAUUAUAAGUUAAUUUGGCUUAUUUGA